rnacentral:rRNA from 1 species
UACGUAGGGUGCGAGCGUUGUCCGGAAUUACUGGGCGUAAAGAGCUCGUAGGCGGCCAGUUGCGUCUGCUGUGAAAUCCCGGGGCUCAACCCCGGGCGUGCAGUGGAUACGGGCUGGCUAGAGGCAGGCAGGGGAGAACGGAAUUCCCGGUGUAGCGGUGAAAUGCGCAGAUAUCGGGAGGAACACCGGUGGCGAAGGCGGUUCUCUGGGCCUGUACUGAUGCUGAGGAGCGAAAGCGUGGGGAGCGAACAGG